rnacentral:rRNA from 1 species
CCUACGGGAGGCAGCAGUGGGGAAUUUUGGACAAUGGGCGCAAGCCUGAUCCAGCAAUGCCGCGUGAGUGAAGAAGGCCUUCGGGUUGUAAAGCUCUUUUGUCAGGGAAGAAACGGUGGGAGCUAAUAUCUCCUGCUAAUGACGGUACCUGAAGAAUAAGCACCGGCUAACUACGUGCCAGCAGCCGCGGUAAUACGUAGGGUGCAAGCGUUAAUCGGAAUUACUGGGCGUAAAGCGUGCGCAGGCGGUUUUGUAAGACUGUCGUGAAAUCCCCGGGCUCAACCUGGGAAUGGCGAUGGUGACUGCAAGGCUAGAGUUUGGCAGAGGGGGGUAGAAUUCCACGUGUAGCAGUGAAAUGCGUAGAUAUGUGGAGGAACACCGAUGGCGAAGGCAGCCCCCUGGGUCAAAACUGACGCUCAUGCACGAAAGCGUGGGGAGCAAACAGGAUUAGAUACCCUGGUAGUCCACGCCCUAAACGAUGUCUACUAGUUGUCGGGUCUUAAUUGACUUGGUAACGCAGCUAACGCGUGAAGUAGACCGCCGUGGGGAGUAACGGUCGCAAGNUUAAAACCGUUCAAAUGAAUUGACGG